rnacentral:rRNA from 1 species
UAGCGGAACUCCUACGGGAGGCAGCAGUGGGGAAUUUUGGACAAUGGGCGCAAGCCUGAUCCAGCAAUGCCGCGUGAGUGAAGAAGGCCUUCGGGUUGUAAAGCUCUUUUGUCAGGGAAGAAACGGUUGGGGCUAAUAUCCCCGGCUAAUGACGGUACCUGAAGAAUAAGCACCGGCUAACUACGUGCCAGCAGCCGCGGUAGUACGUAGGGUGCAAGCGUUAAUCGGAAUUACUGGGCGUAAAGCGUGCGCAGGCGGUUUUGUAAGUCUGUCGUGAAAGCCCCGGGCUUAACCUGGGAAUUGCGAUGGAGACUGCAAGGCUUGAAUCUGGCAGAGGGGGGUAGAAUUCCACGUGUAGCAGUGAAAUGCGUAGAGAUGUGGAGGAACACCGAUGGCGAAGGCAGCCCCCUGGGUCAAGAUUGACGCCCAUGCACGAAAGCGUGGGGAGCAAACAGGAUUAGAGACCCUUGUAGUCCACUUAUG